rnacentral:rRNA from 1 species
UGGGGAAUAUUGCACAAUGGGCGCAAGCCUGAUGCAGCCAUGCCGCGUGUAUGAAGAAGGCCUUCGGGUUGUAAAGUACUUUCAGUCGGGAGGAAGGUGGUAAGGUUAAUAACCUUAUCAAUUGACGUUACCGACAGAAGAAGCACCGGCUAACUCCGUGACAGCAGCCGCGGUAAUACGGAGGGUGCAAGCGUUAAUCGGAAUUACUGGGCGUAAAGCGCACGCAGGCGGUUGAUUGAGUCAGAUGUAAAAUCCCCGGGCUUAACCCGGGAAUUGCAUCUGAUACUGGUCAGCUAGAGUCUUGUAAAGGGGGGUAGAAUUCCAUUUGUAGCGGUGAAAUGCGUAGGGAUGUGGAGUAAUACCAGUGGCGAAGGCGUCCCCCUGGACAAAGACUGACACUCAGGUUCGAAAGCGUGGGGAGCAAACAGG